CAAUAAAGUCCUUGGAAAAAUGGGUUACAUCAAAACAACCAAACCAAUAAUGAUUAACAAAUAAGAGGAAUGUACCUCAGAGUCUAAAAAACUAAUAUAUGAUUAUAUAUUAUGAUUAACUGUUGUCUCAACUAGCACAGGUUCUAUCAUCAUCAUAGCACAAGGUGUUUGUAUUAUGAGAGCUUCAUACCUUCUUGAUGUUCCUCAAAGGCAGCUCCUCUACACACUGACUUUGCCCAGUCCUUGCAGUAGUCUGACACUCCUCACUCCUCUUUCCUUACUCUUAUAUAGCACUAGUUCUAAGUGAUUACAGGUGUGGCCUGUCAAGAUCAGGCCUGCCUCCAGUCUUCAGCAACUGGUCCAGCUGUAACUCAUUGGGGGACAAGAUCACCCUCUACAAUUCCCCCUUUUUCUUUUAACCACAGAGUUGCAGCAUUUCCAGAAGUACAUAUUCAAAUAAAUUAACAUUAUUACAUAUUUGUAUAUUUCAUUUAGAAUUAAGAGUUAUACAAAUGUUCAAAACAGCAUGUUACAGCACAGACAUAUAUUUCUAAAUAUUAGUUCAGUUCUACAGCUUUUCCCAAUUCACAAAAGCACUUAUCUUCAAGGUCUUUUACACUCAUGUUUAGCAAACACUAAUUGUUGUAAUUAUUAUAUUUUGACAAUAGUUUAGUGUUCAAGUCCUGUUUCCCAAAUCCACGGGGUAUUUGGUCAAAUCCAGUUUCCUGAAUCCAUGAGGUUAUUUGGUCAAAUCCAGUUUCCCCCAAAUCCACAGGGUAUUUGGUCAAAUCCCAUUUCUUGCUCUAUUUCCUGCUCCUCCAAUUCAUCCCCUCUAUCUUGUUCUACUUUCCAUUCUUUCAGUGCCUCAUACAACAGUCUCCAGGUAGUAGCCAAAUCGACAGCAUUCUUAUUCCCCCUUAGAUAUCACUUCCCAUAGUCUCUUUCCAACCCUUUUCCACGCAUGGACACUGAAGGCAGUGUCAGCAUCGGCUUCAAAGUCCUGUGAUUUGCACCAUAUCAGUAAACUACCAAGAUCACAAUCAGAAGUUUGAACAUUUUUUCUUUUCAGUAAAGUUUUCCACGUGGACAAAACAGUAUUUUCCUCGUCUGACAAAUUAUUCCCCAUUAUUUUCGCAAUUGCUCACCUCAAAUCAGACAUCUGAAUUAGGUCCAGACUCCCACAGCGUCCCUGCUGCCUUCACUCACUUUUUAUAGGGUACCCUUCAAAAAUUUCUUUUCACUCUCUUUUUACAGUCCCAUUGCAAUCAUGUCACAUAGUUUAGUCCCAAAUCACAUCGGGGUCACCAUUUGUUGUCUCAGCUAGCACAGGUUCUAUCACCAUCAUAGCACAAGGAUUUCAUAUUAUCAGAGCUUCAUACCUUCUUAAUGUUCCUCACAGGCAGCUCCUCUACACACUGACUUCUCCAGGUCCUCACAGUAGUCUGACUCCUCUCACUCCUCUUUCCUUACUCUUAUAUAGCACUAGU